AUGAUGCUUUACACUUGGGUGUAUAAGGAGCUCAAGAAAGAAUUUCUGUGGACAUGAAAACACUUCCUUUAAUCCUCAGCAAACAAUUCAAAAUAUCUCCUCCAACACUGGAAUCUGCAUGAAAACGAACAUGAACCUCAAGAGAAAGAGAAAAUGCAAUGGUGGAGGAAUUUCAAGACUAGGUGGCACAUUUUUAAGAGAUUUGCAAACAAGCACCUUGGAGUUACAAAGGGGUGAUGUUUCAUU